rnacentral:lncRNA from 1 species
UGCUGGUGCAGCUCGUGGUCAGCUGGUGCAGCUAUAAGCCGCUUAUCUCUAUGGACUAUAAAAAAUAUUUUUCCUCUCUUAUAGUAACAUGGUAAAGCUAUAUAUAUACGCUUGCAAAAUUCCUUUAGGCUGAUGAUAUUCAAAAUGAAGCAAAGGAGCUUUCAAGGAUAAGAGAUUACCUCUUCAACUAACUAGCCAAAAUACAGGAUAGCCUGCGAAAAAGGGUUAGUUUUGUUGUCAUAAUAUUAAUCGACACCUCUGAGUGCAUAUGCUGAUGAUGAUGAAAAUAAUUAUACAAUGAUGAUGAUACAGAUCUUCAAAGAUUUGAGCAGAUUGAAAAGGUUCAACUCAGAAGAAGCUAUAGAGUACAGACUUAUCAUUGUUAGACCACUGCACAUCAAAGACGACGCUCCUCUCCAAGAUGAAUCCUGAGGUCUCGGUUAAUCUGCUUUAUUAACAUUCUGUAAUGUCAAAGUCUUACAAGCUUGGAGCUCUUUUGGAAUAGGCUUGCCUUUGAAUGUGUUGGGUUCAUUAGCUUUGUGGUUUGUGUUAUUGCAGUACAGGGAAAGCGAGUUGGUCACGAGUGAAGAUGAUGCCUAUAGGUACACUUACAUAAUGGGCUUGCCUAAAACCUUGUAGGUUUUCUUCUUGCUGCCGCUUAAAAGGUACUCUUUAUUUCACUUUCUUUUGAAGCAUGUGGAAACCAAAUUGAUCUUAUAUGCUAGCUAGACUCUGAGGAACUUGACGUUGAAUUAUUGUUUUCUGUGAAAGGGUCAACGGUUUGCGAUGCCAUUGUUAAGGAUCGCUCUCCAGUCACCUGCUGGUGCAGCUCGUGGUCAGCUGGUGCAGCUAUAAGCCGCUUAUCUCUAUGGACUAUAAAAAAUAUUUUUCCUCUCUUAUAGUAACAUGGUAAAGCUAUAUAUAUACGCUUGCAAAAUUCCUUUAGGCUGAUGAUAUUCAAAAUGAAGCAAAGGAGCUUUCAAGGAUAAGAGAUUACCUCUUCAACUAACUAGCCAAAAUACAGGAUAGCCUGCGAAAAA